GAAAUCUGAAUAACCUGCUCAGGGCCUCUAGUAAGACCCUUUGUACUGAUUUUGGGAAACCUCUGCUUAGGCAGAGGUUA
rnacentral:snRNA from 1 species